UUUUCGGGUCAAACUUUAUGGGAUUUUGGGUCUUCAAAAUCCCAAUUUUGGGGAUUUAUGGGAUUUUGGAGAUUUAUGGGAUUUUGAGGCUUCGGAAUAUCAUUUUUUGGGUCCAACUUUAUGGGAUUUCGGGUCUUCAGAAUCCCAUUUUUGGGUCCAACUUUAUGGGAUUUUGGGUCUUUGGAAUCCCCAUUUUUGGGUCCAACGUUAUGGGAUUUCGGGUCUUCGAAAUCCCAAUUUUGGGGAUUUAUGGGAUUUUGGAGAUUUAUGGGAUUUCGAGGCUUCGGAAUAUCAUUUUUUGGUCAAAAUUUAUGGGAUUUCGGGUCUUCGGAAUCCCAUUUUCGGCUCAAACUUUAUGGCAUUUCGGGUCUUCGGAAUCCCCAUUUUUGAAUCCAACUUUAUGGGAUUUUGGGUCUUUUUGGGGUGGGAUUUGGGGUCUUUUUUGCUCACCCGACUCUUCGGCCUCGGAGGAGUAAUCCUCGUCGCUGUCCUCCUCCUCUUCCUCGUAGUCCUCCUCAGAGGGGUUGAAGGUCUCAUCCUCCAUCUCCGACUCCGACUCCCCCACCUCCGCCUCGCUGCCCUAAAACGGCCCCAAAACGACCCCAAAUUCGACCCCAAAUGGCCCUAAAAUGGCCCUAUAGGGCUCUGGUGGGUCCAAUGGGGUCAAAUGGACCCAAAAUGGCCCCAAAAUGGCCCCAAUGGGGUCAAAAUGGCACCCGAGUGGCCCCAAAGGAUCUCCAAUGGGUUCCGCUGUCACCAAUGACCCCAAAAUGGCCCUAAACGGCCCCAAAAUGGCCCCAAAUUCGACCCCAAACGGCCCUAAAAUGGCCCUAUAGGGUUCUGGUGGGUCCAAUGGGGUCAAAUGGACCCAAAGUGGCCCUAAAAUGGCCCCAAUGGGGUCAAAAUGGCACCCGAGUAGCCCCAAAAGAACUCCAAUGGGUUCCGCUGCCAACAAUGGCCCCAAAACGACCCCAAAUGGCCCCAAAAGGACCCCAAAUUCGACCCCAAAUGGCCCUAAAAUGGCCCUAUAAGGUUCUGGUGGGUCCAAUGGGGUCAAAUGGACCCAAAGUGGCCCUAAAAUGGCCCCAAUGGGGUCAAAAUGGCACCAGAGUGGCCCCAAAAGAACUCCAAUGGGUUCCGCUGCCAACAAUGGCCCCAAAACGACCCCAAAUGGCCCCAAAAGGACCCCAAAUUCAACCCCAAACGGCCCUAAAAUGGCCCUAUAGGGUUCUGGUGGGUCCAAUGGGGUCAAAUGGACCCAAAGUGGCCCUAAAAUGGCCCCAAUGGGGUCAAAAUGGCACCCGAGUGGCCCCAAAAGAACUCCGAUGGGUUCCACUGCCAACAAUGGCCCCAAAACGACCCCAAAUGGCCCCCAAAGGACCCCAAAUUCGACCCCAAAUGGCCCUAUAGGGUUCUGGUGGGCCCAAUGGGGUCAAAUGAACCCCAAGUGGUCCCAAUGGGGUCAAAAUGGCACCAGAGUGGCCCCAAAGGAUCUCCUAUGGGUUCCAGUGUCACCAAUGGCCCCAAAAUGGCCCCAGAACGACCCCAAAUUCAACCCCAAACGGCCCUAAAAUGGCCCUAUAGGGUUCUGGUGGGCCCAAUGGGGUCAAAUGGACCCAAAGUGGCCCCAAUGGGGUCAAAAUGGCACCCGAGUGGCCCCAAAAGAACUCCGAUGGGUUCCACUGCCAACAAUGGCCCCAAAACGACCCCAAAUGGCCCCAAAAGGACCCCAAAUUCGACCCCAAACGGCCCUAAAAUGGCCCUAUAAGGUUCUGGUGGGUCCAAUGGGGUCAAAUGGACCCAAAAUGGCCCCAAUGGGGUCAAAAUGGCACCCGAGUGGCCCCAAAAGAACUCCGAUGGGUUCCGCUGUCA
ensembl:lncRNA